rnacentral:misc_RNA from 1 species
ACCUGCAAAUCACAUAAAUCUCAUUCAGAAGAGAGACCUUACAUGUGCAUGUAACAUAAAGAUACCACUGGUACCAUGCAGUACACUAAACAUGAAAAUUAGACCUAUCCAUAAAUAACACAGAUAUAAUUAGAUCUUCAAUAAUGAAACCAUAACAGAGAUAGACACCCAGAUCGUGCAUGAAUUUAUUUCAAAAUUUCAAAUAGCAGAGCAAAGAAGAAUUCGCUAAUAGGGCAAGUUCACAUCACUUGUCAACGUUAAAGAGGUAGUAGAGUUGGGAAUCAAAACACCUUCAAAGAUUUCACACGUCAGUGGUUCCCACAAAGAAUAGGAGAAGACCAUUGGCUUUUCCUCCAAACAUUACCUGCUAUACAUAUGCUGCUUCUCUUCCUUCAUCCACUAGUGAAUAAACAAUCGCCUGAAAAUCUUUGUUAUAACCCAACAUAGGAUAUCCUCUCAAAAUUAUUGUUAUAAUACUAUCCACUGCAUGUAUUUGCUAUUAUUGGCAUCAUUAUCAGGG